AGCGAACGCUGGCGGCAGGCUUAACACAUGCAAGUCGAGCGGGCGUAGCAAUACGUCAGCGGCAGACGGGUGAGUAACGCGUGGGAACGUACCCUUUGGUUCGGAACAACACAGGGACACUUGUGUUAAUACCGGAUAAGCCCUUACGGGGAAAGAUUUAUCGCCGAAGGAUCGGCCCGCGUCUGAUUAGCUAGUUGGUGGGGUAAUGGCUCACCAAGGCGACGAUCAGUAGCUGGUCUGAGAGGAUGAUCAGCCACACUGGGACUGAGACACGGCCCAGACUCCUACGGGAGGCAGCAGUGGGGAAUAUUGGACAAUGGGGGCAACCCUGAUCCAGCCAUGCCGCGUGAGUGAUGAAGGCCCUAGGGUUGUAAAGCUCUUUUGUGCGGGAAGAUAAUGACGGUACCGCAAGAAUAAGCCCCGGCUAACUUCGUGCCAGCAGCCGCGGUAACAC
rnacentral:rRNA from 1 species